GACGAACGCUGGCGGCGUGCUUAACACAUGCAAGUCGAGCGGUAAGGCCCUUUCGGGGUACGACGAGCGGCGAACGGGUAGGAGUAACAACGUGGGUGGACCUCGCCCUCCAGCUCUGGGAGUAAGCCUGGGAAACGUGGGUCUAAUACUGGAUAUGACUCCACGGUGCACGUCGUGGGGUGGAAAGCCUUGUGCGGCUGAGGAUGGGCCCGGCCGGCCUAUCAGCUUGUUGGUGGGGUGAUGGCCUACCAAGGCGACGACGGGUA
rnacentral:rRNA from 1 species